rnacentral:tRNA from 2 species
AUGAACUUAGUACAAAGGUAGUAUGUUGGAUUCCAAAUCCAGAGAUGUGGGUUCGAUCCCUACAGUUCGUG